UCCCUCUAAUAUCCAAGAGAGUCAACAACCUCAAAAGGAGGUAGAACCCUGUGGACCUACCGGGAUGUCUGGAGAAGAACUAAAACUGGCUUUUGGAGGUUGUUUCCAAUCUCCUUUCUUAAGCAGACCUGAAGUAAAAUGUGAUUGUGAUGCCAUCAUGAUUCUGAAGGCAAUGUACAGGAUAGUGCCUUACAGAACCAAGAAAGAUAAGCAGGCUUGGCCUCAGGAUGAAAGCAGGAGAGCCAGAGAAAAAGUGGAAUAAGUCAUGCAAGACCUCUUAAUG